CAAAGGUUUGCCGCGUCAGCAACGUACUGCCUGUGCGUUUUUUCUCCGAGUAGUGCCCUCUUCAGUUCACUUUUUUUUUAAGUGACCUCACCCUCGUAUUCACUUCUGUUUUUUCUUCUCUGUCGCCCUGUUGUUGUCAGGAGCGCUGUCGUUUGUGUCUUUGCUGCGGAUUUCGUGUUUGGUUCCCCCUCUCACUGCCUCUCACCCCUCCCUUUGGGCGUGCGUGUGUGUGUGCCGGUGUGAUUUUUGUGGAGACUCAGCAGGGCGCCUCAUCUUUACUUCUCACUUCGGUCUUUCGUUCGGUGUACCACCGAAAAAUCUUUCUCCCACGCCGUGCGGUGCGAAGGAGGAACCACCACCACAACCAAACGGAAACGGCGUCUCGAUUUUCACCCGCAGACCCGCUGCUGUGGACACGAAGAACAACCUGCGAUCCAGUUUCUGCAGGGAUAGCACAGAAAGAUAAAGAUGCUCCCGGCAACGGACUCGAUUCGGAUGGGAGUGAUCCAGGCGGACGCGGGGGCGCCGACAGCCGCACAGCAAACAGACUGGAGCUUUUCUGCUCAGUUGGAUGAAGCUGGCCGCCAUGUAAAUAGAGUCGCAUCCUUCGAUGAUCACGGCACGUCUGCCGUGUCUCUCAAUGACGCGAGUGCCUCGGCUUUUGUGCAGCGUGCACGCGGCGUGGGCGUGGCGGCCCCCUCGGCCCCAGAUCCGCAGCAGCCGGAAGAGGUGCAGGAACUACCCAUUGAAGAGGUGGUCAACAGUACCGUGAUUCACCUGGACAAGCCGAUCGAGCACAUGCCCUUGAUUUCUCCGCCGGAGUUGAAGCUGGUUGGGCGAUGCGUCACCUUCAAGGGCGACACCACUAUUAACGGUGAGACCCGCUCUUUCUUUUACGAGGGCCUGAUUGGUACGAUAAAUAAGGAAACCGUCAUGCUGAUCCACGUGCACCGGUACACCGAGGAGGACUUCCAACUUCACAAAUUAGAGCGUCGCCACGCUUUUCGUGCCGAUGAAAACUUGAAGUCUUCACAACAAGGCGUCGCCGUCGCGCCGUCGAACUGUGCCGUGGAGGGCAUUUCCAGUGGCGGCCACGGCGGCACGGCACGCGAGGAAAUCGAGGCAAACUACAGCAACGACAACCUCAACUGCGUGCGCAACCCUGUCGUUGCCGAGAGUAUCCAGAAGCCAAAGGACGACGACGACAACUUCGACUUCGACUUCGACCACCAUAGCAUCAGCGUUACGGAGCACCAGGAGAUGCCGGCGCUGCUGAACGCGCUCGGAGAGACACACGCAGAGGAGGCGACGCGGGUGCGCAACCGCAUGCAGCAGCAGAAGGGCACGAUGGGGCCGAUACCGUAUGUCACCUUUUCUCGAUCGCACAUUCACCGCGUUGAGUUUGGAGUCGAUCCGCAAAGCAGCUUCUACUCUAUUUUCCGUGACCCAACGAAGGAGUAUUUCGACAUGCAGUGCCUGCGCAUGUUCGUGCGGCGAUAUAUUAUUCACACCUCUCAAGGCAACAACCCGCGCUGUGUUCCGCUGCGCGCCUUCAUCACGUCUCGCUGCAACUGUCCAGACCUUGACAACGAUCUGCUCGAGCGCACCACCCGCGAGGAGCUUGCGCACCUCAUCAAGAUCGACCGAGACGUCAAGCGCGUAAAGAAGAAGAAGGAGCAGAACCGCCGCAACGCGCUGCGCGCUUACAGGGCACCGCAAGGGCUCUUCCGUCUGACCGGCAUCCUCUUUCUUACGCAUCUGCCGCAGCAAACCCUGAGCAUUGCUGUGAUGGAGAUGAUCGUGACGCUGGUGCUGCUCAUUUACAUGCUCACGACGAUCUUGACUGCCGAGCCCAACAUAGUUGGCAUUUACUUUGCCAAGGUUUACCCGUACAUCUUUUGCACGGUUAUUGUCUCUGUCCUCGCCACCGCCUGCACUUCGCUUCACGCGAUUCGUAUGUCACUUCCGAUUCGUGACGGCAUUUUCGUGGCGUCGAUGCGCGCCUUCUUCACACUGAGUGCCACUGCCUGCUCCACAAUGGCGAUGAUUAUCAUUGGUGGGCAUGCGAGUUAUGAGCGACUCCUCAGUUUCGUGGAGAGCGAUGUCAUGGCGCCUCGAUUGUGCGGCUUCUACAGUGCUCAGCGGUGCAGCGGCAUCACCAUCCCGUGCACCAGCAUUUACGCGGAUAAGAGGCUCUGCAAUUGCUUUCACAUGCAGUACGACAGCUACCCUUGCCAGUCCAUCAUGAUCGCCUAUGUUCAGCGAGGCCUGAUUCCGAUGGUGUGUCUCGCCUUCAUAUUGUUUGCCACCUUUUUCUUUGAUGGCUACCUGCAUCUGCGUCUCUUUCAUAUUGCCCAUCUUCUUGAAGGCAGAUUAUAGUGCACCUUUUCUUUGAAUCCGAUCACCGCUGGCUCAUAGGGUUGCUCCCCGCCCCCACACACCCUCUCCCUCUUCUCCGACUCUCUUUUCCAUCACCAUCCUCCGGAGUUGUUCACACUUGUUCUUAAGUGUGUAUUCCGCUGAUGAGUGUAUUGGUACCUUUUUCUUUUUUCGGUUAUCUUUCUGUUGUGGUGCUGCCACGGAGAAUGGAGGCAUUUAUUUUGUUUCGCGUGUGCGUGUGUGUGCCUGUCUUUCUCACCUGCCCACGCACCUUUGCCUCUUGUCUGCGCGAAGUGGGUGCCCAUUUCGUUGUUGUUUUUUGUUGUUCUGCUGACCUCCUUUUCUUUUGCUUUUCAUGGAAGGGCGCCCCGCUCCUCCUCUUUUUUUUUCUUCUCGUCGUUGUCGCCGUCGCUCUUUUGCCCUUCGUCUCCAGGCGCACCCUCUUGUUGCUCCUCUUCUCAACAUUCGUUGGUCAACGAUUUCUGGGGUUCUGUGUCGGUGUGAUGGCGAACGGUGCGUUUACGCGCUGCGAGGGGUGGGUCUGAUUCCUCCCUUUGUUUUACGAGUGGAGAGGCGGUGGUAAAGAGAAGCAGAGGGAACGCGCGCUGAUGAGACGGAAAUCGUACAAGCAUUCGGGUAGCAAAAGCAGGCAGAUACACACACGCACACAGAGAUACAGACACACAGGCCACCAUAUUAUUCGGCCCUCGAUACGAGGGCUCAUCGGACCCAGAGGUGGAUAACGGCAGGGCUUGUCGUCGUGUUGAGCACGCCAGAGUAUCUCACCGCCUUCAUCAACCAAAACGAAGAAAGCGAGAACUCAUUAAUCCAUUCGUUGUGUGAUGUGUAUUUUUGUCUGUGAGAAAGUGUUUCUUCGGAUGCGCUAGCACGGCCUUACCUCGUCCUUCGCGUGAAGGCAAAGCAGUUCCCGAAAAAAGGCGAAACUUUUCCGAGGAGACGCAAGGGCCCACCUCCUCUGUGUUGCUUCGUGUCUCCCUCCAACGCGCACGUAAGGCACAUAUAAGAGAUGGGGCCAGUUCUGCCCUUUUGUCUUCUUCAGUCUCUACAGCAGAGAAAGAAGAAAGAGAGGUACUGUGGAAAGGAUGUAGACGCGUAUGCGUGGGUACGGGUGGGUGGGUGGUUGUAUGUGUGAGGGCAGAAACGAGGCGCCGCGUGACACAGCAGAAGUCUCUUUUUUUUUAUCAUGUUCUCUCUUCCUCUCUGUACUGCACGCUCUAUGACAAACAACGCAG
rnacentral:misc_RNA from 1 species